AUUGAACGCUGGCGGCAUGCCUUACACAUGCAAGUCGAACGGCAGCGGGGACUUCGGUCCGCCGGCGAGUGGCGAACGGGUGAGUAAAGUAUCGGAACGUACCUUUCAGUGGGGGAGUAACGUAGCGAAAGUUAACGCUAAUACCGCAUAUUCUGUGAGCAGGAAAGGACAGGGGAGUCGCAAGAACCUUGCGCUGAUUGAGCGGCCGAUAUCAGAUUAGCUAGUUGGUGAGGUAAAGGCUCACCAAGGCGACGAUCUGUAGCGGGUCUGAGAGGAUGAUCCGCCACACCGGAACUGAGACACGGUCCAGACUCCUACGGGA
rnacentral:rRNA from 1 species